UGGGGAAUUUUGGACAAUGGGGGAAACCCUGAUCCAGCCAUCCCGCGUGUGCGAUGAAGGCCCUCGGGUUGUAAAGCACUUUUGGCAGGAAAGAAACGUCAUGGGUUAAUACCCCGUGCAACUGACGGUACCUGCAGAAUAAGCACCGGCUAACUACGUGCCAGCAGCCGCGGUAAUACGUAGGGUGCAAGCGUUAAUCGGAAUUACUGGGCGUAAAGCGUGCGCAGGCGGUUCGGAAAGAAAGAUGUGAAAUCCCAGAGCUCAACUUUGGAACUGCAUUUUUAACUACCGGGCUAGAGUGUGUCAGAGGGAGGUGGAAUUCCGCGUGUAGCAGUGAAAUGCGUAGAUAUGCGGAGGAACACCGAUGGCGAAGGCAGCCUCCUGGGAUAACACUGACGCUCAUGCACGAAAGCGUGGGGAGCAAACAGG
rnacentral:rRNA from 1 species